rnacentral:rRNA from 1 species
UACAGAGGGUGCAAGCGUUGCUCGGAAUUACUGGGCGUAAAGCGCACGCAGACGGCCUGGUAGGUCGGAUGUGAAAGCCCUGGGCUCAACCCAGGAACUGCAUCCGAAACCGCCGCGCUCGAGUAUGAGAGAGGGAAGCGGAAUUCCUGGUGUAGAGGUGAAAUUCGUAGAUAUCAGGAGGAACAUCAGCGGCGAAGGCGGCUUCCUGGCUCAUUACUGACGUUCAGGUACGAAAGCGUGGGUAGCAAACAGG